rnacentral:rRNA from 1 species
GACGAACGCUGGCGGCGUGCUUAACACAUGCAAGUCGAACGGAAAGGCCCUGCUUUUGUGGGGUGCUCGAGUGGCGAACGGGUGAGUAACACGUGAGUAACCUGCCCUUGACUUUGGGAUAACUACAGGAAACUGGGGCUAAUACCGGAUAGGAGCUCCUGCUGCAUGGUGGGGGUUGGAAAGUUUCGGCGGUUGGGGAUGGACUCGCGGCUUAUCAGCUUGUUGGUGGGGUAGUGGCUUACCAAGGCUUUGACGGGUAGCCGGCCUGAGAGGGUGACCGGCCACAUUGGGACUGAGAUACGGCCCAGACUCCUACGGGAGGCAGCAGUGGGGAAUAUUGCACAAUGGGCGGAAGCCUGAUGCAGCAACGCCGCGUGCGGGAUGACGGCCUUCGGGUUGUAAACCGCUUUCGCCUGUGACGAAGCGUGAGUGACGGUAAUGGGUAAAGAAGCACCGGCUAACUACGUGCCAGCAGCCGCGGUGAUACGUAGGGUGCGAGCGUUGUCCGGAUUUAUUGGGCGUAAAGGGCUCGUAGGUGGUUGAUCGCGUCGGAAGUGUAAUCUUGGGGCUUAACCCUGAGCGUGCUUUCGAUACGGGUUGACUUGAGGAAGGUAGGGGAGAAUGGAAUUCCUGGUGGAGCGGUGGAAUGCGCAGAUAUCAGGAGGAACACCAGUGGCGAAGGCGGUUCUCUGGGCCUUUCCUGACGCUGAGGAGCGAAAGCGUGGGGAGCGAACAGGCUUAGAUACCCUGGUAGUCCACGCUGUAAACGGUGGGUACUAGGUGUGGGGUCCAUUCCACGGGUUCCGUGCCGUAGCUAACGCUUUAAGUACCCCGCCUGGGGAGUACGGCCGCAAGGCUAAAACUCAAAGGAAUUGACGGGGCCCCGCACAAGCGGCGGAGCAUGCGGAUUAAUUCGAUGCAACGCGUAGAACCUUACCUGGGUUUGACAUGGAUCGGGAGUGCUCAGAGAUGGGUGUGCCUCUUUUGGGGUCGGUUCACAGGUGGUGCAUGCCUGUCGUCAGCUCGUGUCGUGAGAUGUUGGGUUAAGUCCCGCAACGAGCGCAACCCUUGUUCACUGUUGCCAGCACGUUAUGGUGGGGACUCAGUGGAGACCGCCGGGGUCAACUCGGAGGAAGGUGGGGAUGACGUCAAGUCCUCAUGCCCCUUAUGUCCAGGGCUUCACGCAUGCUACAAUGGCUGGUACAGGGAGUGGCGAGCCUGUGAGGGUGAGCGAAUCUCGGAAAGCCGGUCUCAGUUCGGAUUGGGGUCUGCAACUCGACCUCAUGAAGUCGGAGUCGCUAGUAAUCGCAGAUCAGCAACGCUGCGGUGAAUACGUUCCCGGG